rnacentral:rRNA from 1 species
AGAGUGAACGCUGGCGGCAGGCCUAACACAUGCAAGUCGAACGGACCCUUCGGGGUUAGUGGCGGACGGGUGAGUAACACGUGGGAACGUGCCUUUAGGUUCGGAAUAGCUCCUGGAAACGGGUGGUAAUGCCGAAUGUGCCCUUCGGGGGAAAGAUUUAUCGCCUUUAGAGCGGCCCGCGUCUGAUUAGCUAGUUGGUGAGGUAAAGGCUCACCAAGGCUACGAUCAGUAGCUGGUCUGAGAGGAUGACCCAGCCACAUUGGGACUGAGACACGGCCCAAACUCCUACGGGAGGCAGCAGUGGGGAAUCUUGCGCAAUGGGCGAAAGCCUGACGCAGCCAUGCCGCGUGAAUGAUGAAGGUCUAGGAUUGUAAAAUUCUUACAGUAGGACGAUAAUGACGGUACUACAGUAAGAACGACCCCCGGACUAACUUCGUCGCCGUAGCAGCCGC